GUCCAGUUUGCUGCUAAUUUUUUUUAUUGUAAUCCUUUGCAUUUCUGUGGGUGUUGUCACUUUUCCUCUUUCACUUCUGAUUUUAUUUUUGUCCUUUUUUAAAAUCUGACUGAAGAUUUAUCAAUAUUUAUUUAUUCAGAGAACUGACUCUUGGUUUCAUUGAUCUUUUCUUUUUUAGUCUCUAUUUCAUGUAUUUCUGCCCUGACCUAUAUUAUUUCCUUCCUUCUCCUAACCUUGAGAUUUUAUUUUCUUCUUUUUCUAGUUCUUUUAGGUGUAAGUUUACAUUGUUAAUUUGAGAUUUUUCUCAAAGAUUUUGGACUUCUGUGUUUUCAUUUUCAUUUUUCUAUGUGUAGUUUUUUUUUAAUUUUCUCUUUGAUUUCUUUGUAACUCAUGGGUUGUGUAGUUGCAUAUGAUUUAGUUUCUAUGUUUAUAUUUUUACUGGUUUUGUUCUUGUGAUUGAUUUCUGGUUUCAUAUCAUUGUUGGAAAUAAUGCAUGAUAUGCCUUUAACCUUCUUAAACUUACUGAGAUUUGGAUUGUUGGAGUGAUCCCUUUAUUAUGUAGUGGUCUUCUUUUUGUCUUGUUAUAGUCUUUGUUUUAAGGUCUAUUUUGUCUAACUAUUGCUACCUGGCUUUCCCCCGUUCCCCCCACUUCUAUUUGCAUGGUAUAUCUUUUUCUAGCCUUUCAUUUUCAGUCUGUAUGUGUCUUUAGGACUGAAAUGAGUCUCUUGUAGACACCAUAUAGAUGGCUUUUUUUCCCCAUCCAUUCUGCCACUCUGUCUUUUGAUUGGACAUUUAGACCAUUUACAUUUAAAGUAAUUAUUGAUAUGUACUUAUUGCCAUUUUGUUAGUUGUUUCCUGGAUGUUUUUGUAUUUUUUUGUUUCUUCUCUUGCUCUUUCCUUGUGAUUGAUGACUUUCUAUAGUGUUAGGCUUGGCUUUCUUUCUCUUUAUUUUUGUGUAUCUGUUAGAGGUUUUGGGUUUAUGGUUACUAUGAAGUUCAUAUAUAGGAUUCUAAGUAUCUGACAGACUAUAUCAAGUUGGUGGUCAUUUAAGUCUGAACACAUUCUUCUUUUUUACUCCUGCGUGUUUUAGGUGUAUGUUGUCAUAUUUUACAUCUUUUUAAUUCAUAAUUUUUUUACUUCUACUUAUGGCCUUACCCCACCUCCCCCAUCUCCCCCAAUUAAGUACCUUUAACAUUUCGUGUAAGACCAGAACUCCUUUUACUUUUGUUUGGGAAACUCUUUAUCUCUCCUUCAAUUCUAAAUGAUAACCUUGACUAGUGGAGUAUUCCUGAUUGUAGUUCUUUGAAUAUAUCAUGCCACCUCCUUCUGGUCUAUUAAGUUUCUGCUGAAAAAUCAUCUGAUAGCCUUAUGGAGUUCCCCUUAUAUAUAGCUUUUGCUUCUCUUUUACAACUUCUGAAAUUCUUUUUAUCUUUAAACUUUGCCAUUUUAAUUAUUAUGUGUUUUGGCAUAGACCUCCUGAGGUUCAUUUAGUUUAGAACUGCCCUGUUGUUUUUUUUGUUUUUUUUUAAACACAUUUCUUAAAGGAGUCAUUUCGGCUUACUAGUCCAUUCUGAUCUUUCAGUUACUUUUCAGAGCCUGGCAGCCAGCGUCUGCCCUCACCAUUCCAAUGACACUUACCUGACGAAGAUUACUGAUGAUCUAUUUGUAGACUUGUUCGUUUGACCUCUCUGAAACCUAACACCAUCAAUGUGACCUUGGUCUCACUGUGAGAACAGGGGAGGAGCAGAGAGAGGGAAACAGAGAAUCCCAAGCAGGCUCCAUACUGUCAGCACAGACCCCGACACUGGGCUUGAUCUCAUGGACUCUGAGAUCAUGACCUGAGCCGAGAUCAACAGCUGGGUACUCAACUAACCGAGCCACUCGUUUGGAAGAAAAAAUUCAAUUAGGUGUUAACUGUUACCAAAGUGAUUCCUUAAAAAUGACUGAUAAAAGAAAAAAAAAAAAGCAGGCUAUAGUCAACUAUUUUAGGGCAAAUCCCAUGGCAGAAAUGGAAGGCUUGGUUACAUGGAUACCAGUUCACACUGAAACUAUGGAGAGCUGGCUAGCAUCUAAGCUCAAGCUUGAGAGUUAAAAAAGUUACACUAUGUAACCACAUCUAUUUGUGUAUAAAGUAACAUAUAUAUAUUAUAUGUGAAGUAAAAAGCAGAGGAGGGGUCAAAGGAUACUUAUUUUAGUGCAAACAGACUAGUAAUGUUAGGGCUGAUAAGAUAGCCCGAGUAAGCCACAGCUGUUCUGAAGAUGGCAUAGAGGAGACAGGGCAAUGUGCAAUUAGGAAAACUCUGAAGACCUGUACCUAGUAUGAGUUUCCUUUAAAGCUAUGCAGUGGCCUUUGCUCUUUUAGCUGCCUAUAGAAAUCUGUGCUAAAAAAAUCCUUUUGAAUUUCAUUUCCAUGAUGAGGACAGGGUGGUACUGUCGUCUUCUGGUUUGUUCCUAAUCAAACCCAAGUGUACCUUUCAAUAAAAAUGUCAUAUAAAUGUGUGUUUGUCCUAUUUUAACUUAUAUAAUACAUUUUAUAAAAUUUUAUCUUGUACAUGCUUUCACAAUACUGUGCGUAAUCAGCAAUGUUUCAUCAUCCUGUCUAGAAAUUCUAAGGAGAGAUAAGAUCAUUUCAAACUCAGUUCAUUUUAUUUAAAAAAAAAGGUUUUUAAAUGUUUUUAUUUUUGAGAGAGAGACAAUGAGCGAGUGCUAGUGGGGGAGGGGUAGAGAGACAAGGAGGGAGAGAAUCCCAAGCAGGCUCCAUGCUAUCAGUGCAGAGCAGGAUGCAGGGCUCAGACCCCAUGAGAUCAUAAAGUGAGCUGAAACCAUAAGUCGGUCACUCAACCAACUGAGCCACCAGGUGCUCCUACUCUAUUUUUUUUUUUUUUUUAAUGUUUACUUUUCAGAGAGAGAGAGCACAAGCAAGCAGGGAAGGAGCAAAGAGAGGGGGAGACAGAGAAUCUCCAGCAGGCUCUGCUCUGUCAGCACAGAACCCAAUGUGGGGCUCAAACUCAUAAACCUAUGAGAUCAUGACCUGGGCUGAGAUCAAGAGUUUGACGCUUAACUGACUGAGCCACCCAGGCAUUCCUCACACUCAAUUUAAAGAAUUUCUGGGUUGUACUUCAUAUCCUGAAUCUCAAUUCCUAACAAUGCAGUGAUAUUAGGACUUUUAAAGAACAGAGCUAACACGAGUCCAUCUUGUCAUAAUCCCACUCACAAAAAAAAAAAAAAAAAAAAGUUAUGGCCUGUGGCACUUACAACUUGACUAAAGGUAGCAUGAAAGACAAUAAAAACAAAAACAACCUUCAGAAAGGUUUGGAGGUAGGAAUCUACCAUAGAUGGUCAUUUAAAAAAAAAAAAAAAUUUAUUUUUGAGACAAAGAUUGCACGAGCGAGCAGAGGAGGGACAGAGAGAGAGGGAGGGAGAGAGAAUCCCAAGCAGAUUCCACGCUCCGGGCAUACCCUGACAUGGGGCUCGAUCUCACAACAGUGAGAUCAUGACAUGAGCUGAAAUCAAGAGUCAGACACACAACUGAAUGAGCCACCCAGGCACCCCCACAGAUGGUCAUUUUUAAAUGUUUCCUAUUUCUGUGAUGUUUGGGUCGGGGGGAAAACAUUUAUUUGGAAUAAAAAAGAGUAAGAGAAGAUAUUAUACAGCGUAUUGAGAUGUCUGGUUUAUGAAUAUACCAAAAGCAAAUUUCAACUUAAAGACUAAGAAAGAAAACAGCCAUUCCAAGAUCAUUUAGUUGCAGGAAAAAGUCUAACUGUGGCUAUAAGAAGCUAACCAUUUUCAUUUAAAUGGAUGACUGAAAAUUGGUAAGUUCUCAGAGACUUCAGACUACAAUUAAAAAGUGAAAAAAAUUCAAAUAUACAUCCCACUUUCCACACCUUCAAUCCUAAAGCAAGGAAAGCUCAGGACUUGGCAAACCAUAGAGAAAUUAAAAUAAGCUGUUACAGCCUAUCUAACCAUUUAAAAGAACAAUGAUCAAAGAGAAAGAAAAACCUUUCCUUGGACAUUCUUCUCACCAAUUGCACAGGGUAAAUUUUCCUAAAGGAAUUAAUUUUGCGAACCCAAUCCAAAUGAACACUUGAGGGAAAUGCUCUACUUCAGACUCCCCAUGUUAGGAGUUUAGGGCCAGGGUUUUCAAACUGUAUUAACAUAAGAGCCACUCCUGAGGUGAUUCAAGACCAUUUUGGUGCCAGGAAAAUCAAAACAGGAACAAAGCUAUUUGUAUUCAUAGAAGCUGCAACCAGGGAAGCACAGUUUUCUGAUUUCCAUAUGGAAUUCAGCAUAUGAAUACAGUUCUUUAAAAGGACUGGUAAUUGGGGGUACCUGGUUGGCUGGCUCAGUCAGUGGAGCAUGUAACUCUCCAUCUAGGGGUUCUGGGCACCUGGGUGGCUCAGUAGGCUAAGUGUCCGACUUCAGCUCAGGUCAUUAUCCCACAGUUCGUGAGUUUAAGCUGUGUCGGGCUCUGGGCUGACUGCUGUGAGCUCAGAGUCUACAGCCUGCUUUGGAUUAUGUGUCUCCCUUUCUCUCUCUCUCUC